rnacentral:rRNA from 1 species
GCGUGACAUUAGCUGGACGGCGGGGUAACGGCCCACCGUGGCUACGAUGUCUAGGGGUUCUGAGAGGAAGGUCCCCCACACUGGAACUGAGACACGGUCCAGACUCCUACGGGAGGCAGCAGUGAGGAAUAUUGGUCAAUGGGCGGGAGCCUGAACCAGCCAUGCCGCGUGAAGGCGAGUGCCCUACGGGCGUUAAACUUCUUUUGUGCGGGAGCAAUAAGGGCCACGCGUGGCCCGAUGAGAGUACCGCACGAAUAAGCAUCGGCUAACUCCGUGCCAGCAGCCGCGGUAAUACGGGGGAUGCGAGCGUUAUCCGGAUUUAUUGGGUUUAAAGGGUGCGUAGGCGGAAUGCCAAGUCAGCGGUAAAAUCGCGGGGCUCAACCUCGCUCCGCCGUUGAAACUGGCGUUCUUGAGUGGGCGAGAAGUAUGCGGAAUGCGUGGUGUAGCGGUGAAAUGCAUAGAUAUCACGCAGAACUCCGAUUGCGAAGGCAGCAUACCGGCGCCCAACUGACGCUGAAGCACGAAAGCGUGGGUAUCGAACAGGAUUAGAUACCCUGGUAGUCCACGCAGUAAACGAUGAAUACUAGCUGUUCGGGGCAAAUGAGCCUUGAGUGGCACAGCGAAAGCGUUA